AGAGAGAGACAUGCGCGCAUAUCAAUAAGCGGAGGAAAAGAAACUAACAAGGAUUCCCUUAGUAACGGCGAGUGAAGCGGGAAGAGCUCAAAUUUGAAAUCUUCAAGGGUUUACCUUUACGAAUUGUAGUUUAAAGAAGUGUUUUCUGUUGAGUGUUUUGGUAAAAGUUCUUUGGAAUAGGACAUCAUAGAGGGUGAGGAUCCCGUAUUUGACCAUUUACUUCAACUUUGUGAUACACUUUCAAAGAGUCGGAUUGUUUGGGAAUGCAGUCCAAAAUGGGUGGUAAAUUUCAUCUAAAGCUAAAUAUUGGCGAGAGACCGAUAGCGAACAAGUACCGUGAGGGAAAGAUGAAAAGAACUUUGAAAAGAGAGUUAAACAGUACGUGAAAUUGUCAAAAGGGAAGCGUUUGACACCAGUGUUGUUUUUCUGAAAAUCAAUUAAAGAACUGUUUAUGCUAAGCUGUUUAGACUUUAUCAGCUAACUGUUUAGUUUUGAGCUUUUCUUUAAUGCACUUUUCAGUUAACAAGUCAACAUCAAUUUCUUUUGCUGUAAAAAAGCUUGAGGAAGGUGGCUUGAGAUUCGUCUUAAGUGUUUAUAGCCUCUUGCCUAUGCAGUCGGAGAGAUUGAGGUCUGCAGCGUAGAUCCUUCGGGGCUAAAUGCAUUUGUGCUAAGUUAUAGCAUUUUAUAGACAACUUGUUGACUAUGAUUUGUCUUGUAGCUUACUCGCUUAUGUUAUUUUACCUACGCUUAGGAUGUUGAGCGCAUGUCUCUCUCU
rnacentral:rRNA from 1 species